rnacentral:rRNA from 1 species
GACGAACGCUGGCGGCGUGCUUAACACAUGCAAGUCGAACGGAAAGGCCCUGCUUUUGUGGGGUGCUCGAGUGGCGAACGGGUGAGUAACACGUGAGUAACCUGCCCUUGACUUUGGGAUAACUUCAGGAAACUGGGGCUAAUACCGGAUAGGAUCUCCUGCUGCAUGGUGGGGGUUGGAAAGUUUCGGCGGUGGGGGAUGGACUCGCGGCUUAUCAGCUUGUUGGUGGGGUAGUGGCUUACCAAGGCUUUGACGGGUAGCCGGCCUGAGAGGGUGACCGGCCACAAUGGGACUGAGAUACGGCGCAGACUCCUACGGGAGGCAGCAGUGGGGAAUAUUGCACAGUGGGCGGAAGCCUGAUGCAGCAACGCCGCGUGCGGGAUGCCGGCCUUCGGGUUGUAAACCGCUUUCGCCUGUGACGAAGCGUGAGUGACGGUAAUGGGUAAAGAAGCACCGGCUAACUACGUG